rnacentral:rRNA from 1 species
GACAGAAUCCCCGAGCGUUACCCGGAUUUAUUGGGCGUAAAGGGUCCGUAGGUGGUUUAGUAAGUUGAAAGUUAAAGCUCAUCGGCUUAACCUUUGAGAUGCUUUCAAUACUGCUAGACUUGAGGGCGUUAGGGGUUAGCGGAACCGACGGAGUAGGGGUGAAAUCCGUUGAUAUCGUCGGGAACACCAAAAGCGAAGGCAGCUAACUGGGACGACCCUGACACUGAGGGACGAAAGCGUGGGGA